CCAAUAGCGUAUAUUAAAGUUGUUGCAGUUAAAAAGCUCGUAGUUGAACCUUAGGGCCGUGCGGGCGGUCCGUCCUCUGGGCGAGCACUGCACCGUCGCGGGUCUCACCUUCUGGCGAGCGUGGAUGCCAUUCACUUGGUGUCCGCGGGAACCAGGACCUUUACCUUGAAAAAAUUAGAGUGCUCAAAGCGGGCUCGUACGCUUGAAUACAUUAGCAUGGAAUAAUGAAAUAGGACGACGGUUCUAUUUUGUUGGUUUCCGGGACAGUCGUAAUGAGUAAUAGGGAUAGUUGGGGGCAUUCGUAUUCAAUUGUCAGAGGUGAAAUUUUUUGAUUUCUUGAAGACGAACUACUGCGAAAGCAUUUGCCAAGGAUGUUUUCAUUAAUCAAGAACGAAAGUUGGGGGAUCGAAGACGAUCAGAUACCGUCGUAGUCUCAACCAUAAACUAUGCCGACUGGGAAUCGGGCGAUGUUACUCUUUUUGACUCGCUCGGCGCCCCGAG
rnacentral:rRNA from 1 species